rnacentral:rRNA from 1 species
UACAGAGGGGGCAAGCGUUGUUCGGAAUUACUGGGCGUAAAGGGCGCGUAGGCGGCCUGUUAAGUCGGACGUGAAAUCCCUCGGCUCAACCGGGGAACUGCGUCCGAUACUGGCGGGCUUGAAUUCGGGAGAGGGAUGUGGAAUUCCAGGUGUAGCGGUGAAAUGCGUAGAUAUCAGGAGGAACACCGGUGGCGAAGGCGGAUCUCUGGGCCUUACCUGACGCUCAGGUGCGAAAGCUAGGGGAGCGAACAGG